AUACAUGCAAGUCGUACGCUUCUUUUUCCACCGGAGCUUGCUCCACCGGAAAAAGAAGAGUGGCGAACGGGUGAGUAACACGUGGGUAACCUGCCCAUCAGAAGGGGAUAACACUUGGAAACAGGUGCUAAUACCGUAUAACAAUCGAAACCGCAUGGUUUUGAUUUGAAAGGCGCUUUCGGGUGUCGCUGAUGGAUGGACCCGCGGUGCAUUAGCUAGUUGGUGAGGUAACGGCUCACCAAGGCCACGAUGCAUAGCCGACCUGAGAGGGUGAUCGGCCACAUUGGGACUGAGACACGGCCCAAACUCCUACGGGAGGCAGCAGUAGGGAAUCUUCGGCAAUGGACGAAAGUCUGACCGAGCAACGCCGCGUGAGUGAAGAAGGUUUUCGGAUCGUAAAACUCUGUUGUUAGAGAAGAACAAGGAUGAGAGUAACUGUUCAUCCCUUGACGGUAUCUAACCAGAAAGCCACGGCUAACUACGUGCCAGCAGCCGCGGUAAUACGUAGGUGGCAAGCGUUGUCCGGAUUUAUUGGGCGUAAAGCGAGCGCAGGCGGUUUCUUAAGUCUGAUGUGAAAGCCCCCGGCUCAACCGGGGAGGGUCAUUGGAAACUGGGAGACUUGAGUGCAGAAGAGGAGAGUGGAAUUCCAUGUGUAGCGGUGAAAUGCGUAGAUAUAUGGAGGAACACCAGUGGCGAAGGCGGCUCUCUGGUCUGUAACUGACGCUGAGGCUCGAAAGCGUGGGGAGCAAACAGGAUUAGAUACCCUGGUAGUCCACGCCGUAAACGAUGAGUGCUAAGUGUUGGAGGGUUUCCGCCCUUCAGUGCUGCAGCUAACGCAUUAAGCACUCCGCCUGGGGAGUACGACCGCAAGGUUGAAACUCAAAGG
rnacentral:rRNA from 1 species